rnacentral:rRNA from 1 species
UACGGGGGGAGCAAGCGUUGUUCGGAUUUACUGGGCGUAAAGGCGCGUAGGCGGCCAGCACAAGUCAGUUGUGAAAUCUCCCGAGCUUAACUCGGAACGGUCAACUGAUACUGUGCGGCUAGAGUGCAGAAGGGGGCAACUGGGAAGUUCCUGGGUGUAGCGGGUGGAAUGACGCAGAUAGUCAGGAGGAACACCAAUAGCGAAGGCAGC